GACGAACUGCCCAACCGUUGUUCGGAAUCACUGGGCUUAAAGGGCGCGUAGGCGGCAGAUCAAGUCAGGGGUGAAAUCCGGCAGCUCAACUGUCGAAGUGCCUUUGAUACUGAUUUGCUCGAGGGAUAUAGGGGUCUGUGGAACUUCUGGUGGAGCGGUGAAAUGCGUUGAUAUCAGAAGGAACGCCGGUGGCGAAAGCGACGGACUGGAUAUCUUCUGACGCUGAGGCGCGAAAGCUAGGGGAGCAAACGGG
rnacentral:rRNA from 1 species